UACAACAGUGGUAGGCUUGAUUACCAACAAUGACGAGACGGCCUACAGGGAGGAGGUGAGGGCCCUCGGAGUGUGGUGUCAGGAAAAUAACCUCACACUCAACGUCAACAAAACUAAGGAGAUGAUUGUGGACUUCAGGAAACAGCAGAGGGAACACCCCCCUAUCCACAUCGAUGGAACAGUAGUGGAGAGGGUAGCAAGUUUUAAGUUCCUCGGCAUACACAUCACAGACAAACUGAAUUGGUCCACUCACACUGACUGACAGCUUCGUGAAGAAGGCGCAGCAGCGCCUCUUCAACCUCAGGAGGCUGAAGAAAUUCGGCUUGUCACCAAAAGCACUCACAAACUUCUACAGAUGCACAAUCGAGAGCAUCCUGGCGGGCUGUAUCACCGCCUGGUACGGCAACUGCUCCGCCCUCAACCGUAAGGCUCUCCAGAGGGUAGUGAGGUCUGCACAACGCAUCACCGGGGGCAAACUACCUGCCCUCCAGGACACCUACACCACCCGAUGUUACAGGAAGGCCAUAAAGAUCAUCAAGGACAUCAACCACCCGAACCACUGCCUGUUCACCCCGCUAUCAUCCAGAAGGCGAGGUCAGUACAGGUGCAUCAAAGCUGGGACCGAGAGACUGAAAAACAGCUUCUAUCUCAAGGCCAUCAGACUGUUAAACAGCCACCACUAACAUUGAGUGGCUGCUGCCAACACACUGUCAUUGACACUGACCCAACUCCAGCCACUUUAAUAAUGGGAAUUGAUGGGAAAUUAUGUAAAUAUAUCACUAGCCACUUUAAACAAUGCUACCUUAUAUAAUGUUACUUACCCUACAUUAUUCAUCUCAUAUGCAUAUGUAUAUACUGUACUCUACAUCAUCGACUGCAUCCUUAUGUAAUACAUGUAUCACUAGCCACUUUAACUAUGCCACUUUGUUUACUUUGUCUACAUACUCAUCUCAUCUGUAUAUACUGUACUCGAUACCAUCUACUGUAUGCUGCUCUGUACCAUCACUCAUUCAUAUAUCCUUAUGUACAUAUUCUUUAUCCCCUUACACUGUGUAUAAGACAGUAGUUUUGGAAUUGUUAGUUAGAUUACUUGUUGGUUAUCACUGCAUUGUCGGAACUAGAAGCACAAGCAUUUCGCUACACUCGCAUUAACAUCUGCUAACCAUGUGUAUGUGACAAAUACAUUUUGAUUUGAUUUGAUUUGAUUAGAUUUGAUGCUAGGUUAGAUUAAUACUAGGGCUAGGUUAAUGCUAGGUUAGAUUAAUACUAGGGCUAGGUUAAUUCUAGGUUAGAUUAAUACUGGGGCUAGGUUAAUGCUAGGUUAGAUUAAUACUAGGGCUAGGUUAAUGCUAGGUUAGAUUAAUACUAGGGCUAGGUUAAUGCUAGGUUAGAUUAAUACUGGGGCUAGGUUAAUGCUAGGUUAGAUUAAUACUAGGGCUAGGUUAAUGCUGGGUUAGAUUAAUACUAGGGUUAGGUUAAUGCUGGGUUAGAUUAAUACUCGGGUUAGGUUAAUGCUAGGUUAGAUUAAUACUGGGGCUAAGUUAAUGCUAGGUUAGAUUAAUACUAGGGCUAGGAUAAUGCUAGGUUAGGUUACUGCUAGGUUAAUGCUAGGUUAAUGCUAGGUUAGGUUACUGCUAGAUUAAUGCUAGGUUAAUGCUAGGUUAGGUUACUGCUAGGUUAAUGCUAGGUUAGAUUAAUACUAGGGCUAGGUUAAUGCUGGGUUAGAUUAAUACUAGGGCUAGGUUAAUGCUAGGUUAAUGCUAGGUUAGGUUACUGCUAGGUUAAUGCUAGGUUAAUGCUAGGUUAGAUUAAUACUAGGGCUAGGUUAGAUUAAUACUGGGGCUAGGUUAAUGCUAGGUUAGAUUAAUACUGGGGCUAGGUUAAUGCUAGGUUAGAUUAAUACUAGGGCUAGGUUAAUGCUAGGUUAGAUUAAUACUGGGGCUAGGUUAAUGCUGUAACGGCGUUCUUCGUUUGUCGAAAGAGAGUCGGACCGAAAUGCAGCGUGGUGGUUACUCAUGACUUUAUUGGAAAAAGCAACACAUGAAAUAACUAUUACAAAAUACAAAACAACAAACGAAACGUUAAACCUAUUACAGCCUAUCUGGUGAACACUACACAGAGACAGGAACAUGAAACCUAAUUACAGCCUAUCUGGUGAAACUACACAGAGACAGGAACAAUCACCCACCAAAUACACAGCGAAACCAGGCUACCUAAAUACGGUUCCCAAUCAGAGACAACGAGAAUCACCUGACUCUGAUUGAGAACCGCCUCAGGCAGCCAAGCCUAACUAGACACACCCCUAAUCAGCCGCAAUCCCAAUAAUACAAAAACCCAAAACGAAAUACAACAUAUAAACCCAUGUCACACCCUAGCCUACCAAAAAUAUAACGAAAACACAAAAUACAAUGACCAAGGCGUGACAAAUGCUAGGUUAGAUUAAUAAUAGAGCUAGGUUAAUGCUAGGUUAGAUUAAUACUAGGGCUAGGUUAAUGCUAGGUUAGAUUAAUACUAGGGCUAGGUUAAUGCUAGGUUAGAUUAAUACUAGGGCUAGGUUAAUGCUAGGUUAGAUUAAUACUGGGGCUAGGUUAAUGCUAGGUUAGAUUAAUACUGGGGCUAGGUUAAUGCUAGGUUAGAUUAAUACUAGG